rnacentral:rRNA from 1 species
GAUGAACGCUGGCGGCGUGCCUAAUACAUGCAAGUCGAGCGAACAGAUGAGGAGCUUGCUCCUCUGACUUUAGCGGCGGACGGGUGAGUAACACGUGGAUAACCUACCUAUAAGACUGGGAUAACUUCGGGAAACCGGAGCUAAUACCGGAUAAUAUAUUGAACCACAUGGUUCAAUAGUGAAAUACGGUUUUGCUGUCACUUAUAGAUGGAUCCGCGCCGCAUUAGCUAGUUGGUAAGGUAACGGCUUACCAAGGCAACGAUGCGUAGCCGACCUGAGAGGGUGAUCGGCCACACUGGAACUGAGACACGGUCCAGACUCCUACGGGAGGCAGCAGUAGGGAAUCUUCCGCAAUGGGCGAAAGCCUGACGGAGCAACGCCGCGUGAGUGAUGAAGGUCUUCGGAUCGUAAAACUCUGUUAUUAGGGAAGAACAAAUGUGUAAGUAACUAUGCACGUCUUGACGGUACCUAAUCAGAAAGCCACGGCUAACUACGUG